AUAUAUUGGUAAAAUGUUUAUUUCAAAAUGAGUUCGCAACAAAUUUAAAAUUCGAUCAUUCUUGAGAAAAGUAACUGCAAAGCCCUAUUGCAUAAUUAACGAAGUUAUUCUCAUUCACCUUUUACAAUCCAAUUUCCCACAACUAGGAAUUGCGGUGGGCAUGGGCGGGUUUUGCAAUCCCCGCCCCACUCCGGGAAUUCUCAUCCCCAUCCUGAUCAAAAUUCUUGGAGUUUAAGAGUUGGUAUCCCAAAACACGCCACGUAAAAUAUCCACGGGUACACCGGAUUGGUUUGACGAGAUUUCAAGUGGUGGCAAAGUGACAUUGGUUCGAUAGAGAAGAGAAAUGUGAGACGGUGGAAAAUGAACAGUGGUCUAGCGGAGAAGAAAAUUGUCAUGCGAUGAUAGUGAUGUGGCGGCGAUCCGGUAAUACUCUGAAAUUUAAGGGCGGGUCAAAUUCUCAUCCCUACCCGUAAUGUUACCUUUAUAUUUGGGGCAUAGAUGUCCUCGAGUUUAGCAUAUGGUCCGAAUUUAGUAUUUGGUCCAUUUUGGAUUUGCUCAAAUUGGGCCAAAGCUAAUCAGUUGGGCCUCUAUUCGAUAUUGUAUGGUGUAGCCCUUAUAUUAGUUAAUUUAAUUUAUUUAUUAAUAAAUUAAUUAAUUAAUUAACAAAAAU
rnacentral:lncRNA from 1 species